rnacentral:rRNA from 1 species
ACCAGACUCCUACGGGAGGCAGCAGUGGGGGAUAUUGCACAAUGGGGGAAACCCUGAUGCAGCGACGCCGCGUGGGUGAAGAAGUAUUUCGGUAUGUAAAGCCCUAUCAGCAGGGAAGAAAGAAGACGGUACCUGACUAAGAAGCCCCGGCUAACUACGUGCCAGCAGCCGCGGUAAUACGUAGGGGGCAAGCGUUAUCCGGAUUUACUGGGUGUAAAGGGAGCGUAGACGGCAGUGCAAGUCUGAAGUGAAAGCCCCGGGCUUAACCCGGGAAUUGCUUUGGAAACUGUACGGCUGGAGUGCUGGAGAGGUAAGCGGAAUUCCUAGUGUAGCGGUGAAAUGCGUAGAUAUUAGGAGGAACACCAGUGGCGAAGGCGGCUUACUGGACAGUAACUGACGUUGAGGCUCGAAAGCGUGGGGAGCAAACAGGAUUAGAUACCCCUGUAUC